ensembl:lncRNA
GGAAGCGAGGCCCUGGGAACCACUGUCCAGCCAGGCUCCCUGAGCCUCUGGCUCCUGUAAGCCAGAUCUCCAGGCCCAGGCAGGGUCUGAGGGCUGUGGGGUGCAGGACCAGCCCUCCCCUCAGGCUUGUUUCUGAGCUGCCCCACAGUGUGGUGUCGGGUCACAGUACCUGACACACCAGCCCCUGGAAAACAGUGCCUGAGCAACCAGGCACAAAUGUACAGCUGCCCCUGAAGUGUGUUUCCCUGCAAUUCAGCCUGUCCACUGCGGCCCCUCUGCACCUGGCUGGAGCCCAGAGGAGGACCUGGGCCUGCGACACCCUGCUCAUGCUCCGCCUGUCCUGCUCCCUCCAGUCAGUUCACCAAGCACCUCCCAGGCCGCAGGGCCCAGCGGGGCUGCGCUCCUGCCUGGCCCUACUGGUCCCAGUCCUUGACGAUGCUCAGGACGCCCCGCUCAGGGGCGGGGCCUGCCAGCCUGGCCAGCACGUCCAGCCCUCCGUGCUCCUUCUCCCUGGAGGACACAAAGUGGGCAGCUCCUGCACCCGGACCCCGGGGCGCCCGCCCGUGUCCCCGUCCCUGUCCCCGUGGCCUGCGCAGCUCCCGGAUCUGUGCGGGCCAGGCCGAUUGGGACCGCAGGGCAGGAGCCCGGGCACCGCUUACCGGAGGACAACGUUGCAUGCCUGCGCGGUGGCCGCUGACCAAGGCCUGCUGGCCCCGCUCCCCAACAUCGUUCCCGCUCACGUCCAGGUGCCUCAGCUCCAGGUUGGUGCCCGGCACAGCCGGCCAGGGCAAGGCAGCCAGCAGAGGCGCUCUCACUCCAGGACAUGCAGGUGGCAGCUGGGGCACGCCAGGGCCUCGCACAGAGUGGCGGCGCCGUCAUCCCCGAGGGUCAUUGAGGCUGAGGUCCAGGCUUUGGAGGCGCGCUGCUCUCUCGAGAGCUGAGGCCACGUCCUGACAGCAAGCCGAGCAGUGAGACCGAGGACUCAUGUGCUGACUCUGUCUUCCACCACUUGAGGAACAGCCAAGAACGUCUUCCUGAAGUGCCAGCACCUUCUCCUGCUUCUCCGGGGAAAGCUCAAAGUGUCAGUGCUUCCUCAGGUAUUUUGUGCCUCUUUCAGCAUUUCAGAAGCAUUUGCAGAAAUUCCCAAGCGUCACGCACUGCAUCAGGCCUGGGGGCCCCAGAGGCACAGCCCCUGCCCUGGGGAGCUCGGGCCCAGCAAGAACCAAACACAAAGGUGAACAGGCCCGGUGUGUCCGUCUGGCAGGAGGCUCCAAGGUCUCCCUGCCCCUUCCCGCUCAGGCGCCUGCAGCCUCCCAGGACCCGGUGACCAGGGACGGGGUGGGCCCAGGAGGGGUGGAUUUCAGACACGAGGGCACUGUUUACGGGGCUGGAUUGCCUCGGCCCCCGCCUCUGUGGGGUGUGGCUCCCUCUCACGGGAUGACCAGGGACCCCGCUCUGGUCCCCACAGCAGGCAUGGGCGCGUGACCCAGAGGCCCACACCUGCAGACUCCGGCGACUUUUCCUCUCGGAGACACAUCGUCAUCGGCCUCACACUUGCCAUCCUCCUGCCUCAGCCUCCCAGAGUGCUGGGGUCACAGGCGUGCACCACCAUGCCUGGCUCCGUAUUUAAUUCU